rnacentral:tRNA from 1 species
ACCGCGAUAGCUCAGUUGGUAGAGCAUUUGCCGGAUGAGAGAAGUAUCGCCAGCUCGAUACUGGCUCGCAGCG